GCCGAUGUGGCUCAGUUGGUUAGAGCACUGUGUUGUGCUCUGAAGACUCAUGGGUUCGACUCCCAUUUGGGGCA
rnacentral:tRNA from 1 species